CACCCGCCUUGGCCUCCCAAAGUGCUAGGAUUAGAGGUGUGAGCCACCAUGCCUGGCCCAAAGUCAUUUGCCCAAAGUCUUCUUUUUUAGUCGUAGACAGUUCUAAUUUACAUUAGUAAUCUCUUAAUAUACUUAGUAUGUAUUUUUUCUGUCAAGAGUAAUGAGAGUUAAUUAGAGGAGAUAAUAAUAAAGUUAUUCAUGUGGCUGUCUGCUUUGAAAGGGAAUUUCAGAAUUUUGACUGGAGUUUGGAACUCCCACCUAGUGUUAACUUUGCCAGCAGGUGGCAGAAGUUCCCAUGUUAUAAAAAUAUAGUCACUGGUGGUCUCCUUGCCACGGUGCGCCAGAGCAGAGUCUGAGUCUGAGGCAGAGGGACUCAUGGCAGGACAGGCGUUUAGAGAGUUUCUUCUACUCUUUGACCGAGUAUUGGUUGAAAAGAGUGCUGCUGAAACUGUAACCACAGGAGACAUUAUCCUUCCAGAAAAAUCUCAAGGAGAAGUGUUGCAAGCAACAGUAGUCGCUGUUGGAUCGGGUUCUAAAGGAAAGGGUGGAGAGAUUCAACCAGUUACCAUCAAAGUUGGAGAUAAAGUUCUUCUCCAAGAAUAUGGAGGCACCAAAGUAGUUCUAGAUGACAAGGAUUAUUUCCGAUUUAGAGAUGGUGACAUUCUUGGAAAGUAUAUAGACUGAAAUAAGUCACUAUUGAGAUGGCGUCAACAUGAAGCUACCCAUUCCACUGAAGUUCUGAAAUCUUUCAUCAUGUAAAUAAUUUCCAUAUCUCUCUUUUAUAAAAACUAAUGAUAACUGAUGAAAAAAUAUAUAGUCACUGGUUAAGACAGGUAAGAGUAUGUUGUUUUGUUUUAGAAGUAGAUGUAACUUCUGGUAUUUAAAUUUUUCUCAUAUUUCAUUAUAGUCUGUUUUAUACUUUAGUAGACAGAAUGGUAUCUAACAAUAGUAGCAAGGCAGGAACAGCAGUAUUAUCUGAAAUUUUUAAAUACUUAAAAGUGUACAUGAACCACAGUUGACAUGCAGUUGUUACAUAGCAGAGUGUCAUCCCUGAUAGUGGCACUUACCUUCAGCCACCAAAGUAGGGAAAUGAAGUUGUAUAUGAAAUUCCUAAGUAGGACCUAGGAAUUUUAACAUCAUGGUCCCCUUUGAUGCUGGUAAGAGGAGCCAGCCUGCUCCCCAAACCUUAACUAAAAAAAAUCAGGCCAGACUGAGUGUGGUCAGAAAUCUGGCUAUGGGAGCUUUAGGGGUAUUCUUAACAAAUGUUGAUGGUAAUAAUCAACUUUCAGCACCCAUCAUGUAGACUGUACAGUUUCUCAGGUUGUCUGAAGAUUUACCACUCCAAGGAUUCCCACAUUUCUCUGAGCCAGAGGAUGCUUUGGAGAAGAUUGUGUACACUGGAAACUUAGGGAGAUUUGAUGCUGAAGUUGCUAAGUACAAAGUCAGCAUAGUCACUUCUUUACCUUGCUUGUGUCUCUUUUUCCCUUCAUUAUAAAAAUGAAAAAAAGAAAAACAACUAAACUUACACUAAUACAACAUAAAUACAUGUAAAUUUUAAAAGCGAUUGUGGGUCUUACCCUCAGUCUGAUUCUACUUUUUGCAACCUAUAGUAUUGCCUAGAAUAACUCACUUAUUUAACAAAUAUUGAUGGAAUACCCUGCAGUGGGCCUUACUCUUUUUCAAGGUGGUGAGAAUGUAGCAGUAAAUAAAACAGACAUAAUCUCCCUGCCCGUGGAACUUAAAUUCUGACAGAAGGAAAGAGACACUAAGUAAAUUAUCUGAUUCAUCAGAAGAUAAGUGCCACGGGGCCGUGUGCAGUGGCUCAUGCCUGUAGUCCUAGUGCUUUGGGAGGCUGAAGUGAGAGGAUCGCCUGGAGCCAGGAGUUUUGAGACCAAUCUGGGCAACAAAGCAAAACCCUGUCU